GACUCUCACAGCAGCAGUUAGAUGCCUGUCUGACCUCCACAGACAAGACGUUCUCCUUCUCCCUGGAAACAGCCGUUUCUGCUCUGCUUCUGAGCCCAGACUGUUAGAGGCCUCUCUUCGUGUCAAGAGACUGAGCAUCUUGCAGCUGCGUACCUGAUGACCUCCGUGUGUCUCUGUCAGCGAGUGUCCCUGGGUGGCCUGCCAAGGACUGAAAUCCAUCAGCUCUCUGGACUGUCCUGAAAGGGCUGAAGCAAGGCAUGCAAAGGAAAGAUAGAAGCCCUUAUGACAGUGGCUACUGUAUAAAAACAAAUGUAGUGCAAACUACAUACUUCUCUAAAUUGGAGAGGAUGAAGAUGAAGAUCUCAUCAAUCUGAAUAAUACCUUUCGCUAAUUCUCACACAAUCUACUUGUUUUGUUAAUGGGCUGGUGAUUAGAAAUGGAAAAGCAGAUGUCAAAAAUCAGUAAAAUGAGAACCUAGAAGGAUUAGCAAGAGACUGAAUUUUAGUUCCAUCCUGAAGACACCAAAUUUGAAGGAGACAGCCAUUUGGAGGCAUAUUGAGCUUUCAUGGCCUCUCAGGAGACAAAAUACAAAGCCCAAGACCAGCUUCAGGAAACUAUUUAGAAAUAUUCACUUUUUAAAACCAUGAUUUCGGGAGUAAGAAAAAACAUUUCAUCUGGAAACUUACCACUAAGUAAUUUACAAGUUGAAAUUGAAAAUGAAAUAUUGGUUAUGCUGGAUUUCACAGUGGAAUAAACUUAAAGGAGCUGGACCACAGGAAAGAAUCACUGCAGCAAGCUGUAACUGAUGUAUGGAGCGACAAGUCUCACUGCAUAUAAAGAGAAAGAGCACUGAGCAAUGACUGCUGCGAUGCACUGUUUCUGGAAACACCUGGUGUGGGUAUGAAAUUUCCUAAGAUACAGUGGGUGAAGAAUGUCUUUUGCCUUUACCUGAUACUGUGAAGCCAAGUGACCCCUUCUUGUAAAGAUCAACCACAGAAACACCAUCAACUCACAUGUGAUGUGGCACCAUCUCAGUCCAUUUCCAGUGUUGGGAUUCUUUAUUAGAAAAGACUUCUCUCCGUGGCAAACAUGACAUUGGAAGGAAUCACUAUUUAUUGAGGAGAAGAACUAUGAAGAGGAAAGAAAAAUUUGAGGGGAAGAAUCCAAGCUCACUUACUUGGCUAUUGACAAGCUUCAGUGAAAAGGAGUUGGAGAACGUGCAAGAGUAAGAGCAGACAGCGUUCCCAAGAUGCAUGCCACAGUCAUUUUUAAGUUAAUAUUGAAAGCAAUAUUCUAUUGCUACCACAGCAUUAUAUCUGUGAGAGCUAUUUCAUUUCAACCCAAGAGAAGGUGUUUUUAACCAUUGAAGGAUUGCAGUUCAUUUUGUGAACCAAUAGGAUGCCAGAUUUAUUUUAAUUUAUCAAAGCAAAGAUAAAAUGAAAGGUAGUGGUCAUAGUUG